rnacentral:tRNA from 1 species
GCGGGCGUGGUGGAAUUGGUAGACACGCUAGACUUAGGAUCUAGUGCCUUACGGUGUGAGAGUUCGAGUCUCUCCGCCCGCAC